CCUGCUUCCACUUUCUAGCCUUGACUGCAUUCUAACUGCUCAGAUGCAGUGCCCAGCCAACCCAUUAUCUCGUGGCUUCUGUCAAGUUCCUGAUUUUUCUUCUCUUCUUGAAGAUGAGGAAGAACUCGGCUUAAGUGUCCUCUGGAACCUACACUGAGACAUAUUCCAACAUGAGUGUAGUCUGACGUGCACUACAGGAGCCAUAAGCAGGUAAGGAGAUUCUUCAUGAAAUAACCUGGGUGUGUGGAUGGAAGGGUUAGGUCUGAACUGGGUUACACUGGGCAAUCUUCAUGUUUUACCAGUAGAGUCAGUUUGUGUUUAAAAAUGGCAAUUGUUUGGCACGUUAAGUAUUUGUCGAUGGCAAUUUGGGGGUCCAAACCUUAAGUGCUCUAAUUGAUUAUUUGGGGCUCCCAGCUGGGUUUAACGUGUCUGUAGUAAUUCAAAAGAAACUUUCACAAGUGUCCAUCUUGGACAUUUCUACCGUGUGAAAGGACACAGAGAUGGUUCUCAAAAGUAAGUUCACUGCCGUAUUUCUUCUUUCAAAAUUUCUCAUUACGUACGAAUAGUUUCUCCUUUUCUGCCACUGCACACAUACACAUAUAACAAAACUGUGUCUGUUUGAACGCAUAGUUACACAGAGAGGAGCUUUUAGCUUGGUCUUGCUGGGAAAGUUAAUCCUAAUUGCAUCUAAUAAAAUUUGUAUUUAUUCUUAAGGAAGCUUAAAAACCAUAUAUCUUCAUAUCCUAUACAUAGCAAAAAUUUACAUUCAUUAGAAACUUAGUUUAUAAAUAAUCAGUUAAACUCCUUAAAAUGCUUGAACUAGUUUCAAUUCAACACGUAGGGCGGAGCAUGGAUCUAGUGUCAGUGCACUCAGUGAGCCCAUGCAAGCCACCUAGAUUGUUUUGUUUACUGCUGAGUUUUUGGAAGGUUUUUUUUUUUUUUUCUUUUUUUUGGUUGGUUGGUUGGUUGGUUGGUUUUUGCUUGUUUUGUUUUAGGAAAUUUAAUCCUAUGGAGGAAAUAAGAGUAAAAAAAAACAACUUACACGUUUAUCUUUUUUUAAAUAUACAAAAUCAAAAAUACAUUUCAAGACUAAAUCAUCUAAAUCCUAACUUGAAAUAUCAAAGUAACAUUUUAAGUUCUAUAAACACAUAAAACCUUAUACUUUAAUAAAACUUAUAAAUACAUACAAGCACACGUGUACAGUUUCACAUGUGUAGAUGUACAUAUAGCACACAUGGUUAUACCUGUUAAACCCAAAGAAGAAGAGAGGAAACACCAAGCUGCUCAGAGCUUCAGUCAGGGGAAUCGGGCAGCCUGUGGGAAGUGAGCUACCAUUUGCUGCCCUGUAGCAGCAGCAAGAGGAGGAAGCAGGACCCGAAGCCCUGAGCGGCUACCUGAAGGCAACAGAGCUGACCCUAUCAGGAUCUAAAUCCCCUGCAUGCUAUGAGGCCGGCCCUGCCGCUGGUGCCCACAGACAAACGAUUUCAAUCUGCUUUACCCUGCGAUGGCUUCACUUGCUUCCUGUUCUGCCUCAUAAUCUACCAGUUAUCCACGGGUCACCACGCCCUCCCACGCUCCUCCAUCCACCCUUAGUCAUGUAUUUUUAGGAUGUUUUGUUUUUUUCACUAAAUUAUCACUGACAACUUUCAAAAAAAUUAUCAUCAUAGCGAGGACACAGUAGUAAGGAGAAACAUCUCUCAAAGUAGUCGUAAAAAGGGACAAAUAGUUAAUGUUAGUACCACAAGGUACUAAGUACUAGGUACUAAGUAACAUCCUGAGUACCUGAUCCACCAAGCUCCCUAAACCUCAUGCCGGUUUUCAAUGCCACAAAGCAUUAAUCCAGAUAAUAUCUGUGAAGUCAUUAACAGCCUAAUAUAUGAAGGAAGUAUAAAGUAAAUGAGGGAUAACACUCCUGUUUUCAAUGUUCUCAUAGAGAUCAGGAUCAUUGGGAAAACGACCAUUAUACAACAGAUCAUUAGAACACAUAGCCCAUGGGUCGGCAUGUCAUCCCACCUAGCGAUUAAUGGUAAUACCUCUACAGGAUUUUCAGUUCUUUUUAAUAUUCAUGUACAAGGCAAUCCCUGAUGAAGCUGGAAUAGGUGAUUUGAGAUUCACUUACUCACGAGUUAUACUGACAUUUGCAUGUGUGGCCUACUAAUAGGUUGCCUAGAAGGUUGUCAUUCAAUCUACCCUACCUGGUAAAUAAACAAAUGCUUAAAAAACAAGUACCCAGCCCCUCUCCACGUACUGCAUUAGCUCUGGGGUAAUUAAGCUCUGCACUAGUCUUUAGCACAAGACAGUGGGUGAGGAAGGAAAAGAUCAUUGGACAAGAUACUUCCUAUGGUUCAAGAUGCUUCUUGAACUCAACUUGCUGAAUACAAUAGCAAAGAUGGUUUGGAGACAAUGUUCACUCUAGUAGAUGCUUUUAGAAUGAACUUAGUUGUUGAGGCUUCUCUAAGCCUAAAUCUCUGAUAAUUCAGAAGUCAGAUUCAUUGAACCAGGCUCCAGCAUUUCCCUCAAGUGAGUAGCAAAGGAGUUAUCUUGGUCUCUCAGCAUGAGCAGACUCUACAAUACCAAGAACGAACCAGUCUGAGGAGAUAUAAGACACUAGCACAUUUUACUAUGGGCCUCUGUGCUUCCAAAAGACCAUCUAGUUGAAGAGAAGAAAUAAAAAGAAAUAAAAUUUACAUCAACUGAAAAUUAUGAGUUCAAGAGUGCCAAGUAGGUUUAGGUCAAGUUCUCAAAGGAUAGGCCCAUGAACCGCACUAGUAAACUUCUUUGAUGUGCAAUAUUUGACCCUAGACCCACUGACCCAGAAACUCUAGGGAUAGAACUCUACAGCCUAUGUUUGAACAAGUCCUACUGGUAGUUCUGAAGUACAAAUUUGAGCUUCAAAUGUAGAGUGAUCAUACAAAUAACAUACAUACCAGUUAACUGCGCAAACUUGUAAAUAGUGCUUUCUUUCUAUUUCAAAGUGCCUGGUCACCUAUUGUCAAACUGAGUGCUUUCAUGAGAAACAGCAUACUACUUGGGAUUUCAAAUUAGCUGUGAGUCUACUGUGAUACCCAUAGUACUUAUGAAUGUAAAAAAAAAAAAAAAAAAAGGAGUACUGUCUCAUGAUACUGUUUUUCCUAUGGGGUUGUAAUCCCCUUCAUCUCCUUCAUUCCUUCCCCUAACUCUUCUUCCAUUGGGGGCCGGGCUCAAUCCAAUGGUUGGCUGUGACUAUCUGUGUAUUAGUUGGGUGCUGGCAUAGUCUCUCAGGGUAGAGCUGUAUCAGCAAGCUCUUAUUAGUAUCAACAAUAGUGUGUAAAGUCUAGUUUAAAUUCUCAGCAUACUGAGCAACAUACAGUCAACGGAUAAAACAGAUGUGCUUCCUCCCAACACACAAUUCCCCCAACCAGGUCUUUAAAACCCCCUUUAUUAAAACUUCUGGCUCCUCCUUGUGGUUCAGAUAGCAUCCUAGAAAAGGAGCUCACUAGUAAAUAAAUUAAUUAUCCUUCUAGUAACAACUUGGCUCUAACAACACACAGGAAAGCCAGGUUUACCAUGAGGCUUCUCAAUCCACCUGCACUUUUAAUGUUAAAGUCACUGUUUGGUGUCUAAUAAUCCAUUUCUGUUUUCUUUGAAAACUUCUGACUGUACCCAGCCUAAAUUAAACUGCUAGCUCUUCACUCUCCACAGAAGUCAGCCAUCUGCUAUUUGUGAAAAGCUUGUUCUAGCCCUGUCUUACUUGUCAGGUUCCUGACUGCUCAUCCUUCAGAUAAGAGAACAGCAGAGUGGGUUGGUGGUUUCUAUCUAAUUACAGAACAUCUGGGGUUGAAGUUAAGGUUUCAGAGAAAAAAGAAAAAGAUCAGCUGUGAGACAUAUGGGAGCUGGCCCAGAAGAGCUGUUGUGUUGGUGUGCCCAUUGUGGCAAGUACUGAAUGUUUGCUUUUUGUGCACACAUUCUAAGGGUAAUGAAGGAACUGAAUUGAAUUUCAUGCUAUACAUGCUGAUUCCUUAUCACGUGACAGCCACAAUUCCAGAUGCUACAGAUGCUCUGCAUGAAGAAUGUCCUCUAGACCCCGUUCUAAUGGGUCACACUAAGCCUUACUUUUAUAUAGCCAACGCUCGUAUUUUAGUACUAUCUUUUAAGUCACACCAAUGAUGUUUGAGCAUAUAAAUUCUUAACACACAUUUUUACUAACUUUAGAGAAAUUUGGAGGAGAUUUGGAGGAGAAUCUAAUCUCAAUACAAGCCAGUUAAUAUUUGUGGGCUUGUUGUAGCCCUUACAGCUCUGUAUUUACUAAUAACCAAAAGAAAAUAUAGAAAAAUGGGCCUUGGGCUUUAGUGUUCAAUAUCCUCGUCUUCUCCUACUCCUGAAACUUUCUACCCAAGGACUUAAUUGCCUGCAAGCACCACCUUUACAGAAGUGAAAAUAGGAAGGGAAAGGUUGGGGUCUCACAGGAAGAGAAAACCUAGGGCCAGGUGUCCCCUGCUGUCACCAAGUCUGCGAGAUUGACUGCAGCAACUGCCCUCUUCACUGGUGGCACGAAAGCAAACUGGUUAGCUAAGAAGAGAGUGAGUAACCAAAACAGGCUUGGAAGGAGCUAUUUCUGGAAAACAAAUAUUUUUCUUAAGCUAUAUUUUAAACCUUGUGUGUGUGUGUGUGUGUGUGUGUGUGUGUGUGUGUGUGUGUACACAAAUAUGGAUGAACUACAUGAAGGUAAGAGGACAAAGUGUGGGAGUUGAUUCUCUCCAUCCAACAUGUGGACCCCAGGGAUAGAACUCCAAUUAACAGGUUUGGCAGUAGCCACACUUACCCACUGAGCCAUUUUGUUAGCCUUUAAAUGGGUUCUUUCCACUUUGAACACACAAUGCUAUUUACUGCUCAAUCUUUUGAUAUUGUGGCAAAGCCUUUUACUGAAUAACUGCAGAUCUGCAUUGAUUUUCUUCCCUACAAAUGUAGCACAUUGUCAGUUUAGUCUGGUUCCUUAGUAUAUUUCAAAUAGUGAGAGGGUGUUUUAAACAACCAAGGAGCCACAUGAAUAAAAUAACUCAGACCCAGAUUAGAUUUUAAGUCCCUGAAGAGAAGUAAUUAUGUUUGUAACAGUUAAUUUUCCCAGACAAUGGGUAGAAAGAAGGAAAGCCUUAUAUCACACUGGCAACAACAACAAUCUGAAGUUGUGGCUAAAGUCCCUCUCCGUUGAGCCAUCUUGGAGAAGGCACAGUGUUCAGUGCUUCCUAACAGCCAUACAGGUGUGCAUUCUAGAAUCAUAUUCUCUAGCCUUAAAUCCUGACUACACCACUUAGAUUGAUACAAUCUCCACCAUGCUACUCCUUGUCUGGUAUCCCUUGCCUGGGUAUCAUGCAGAGUAAAUGAGUUAAUACAUAAUAUCCCUGAACAGUUUUAGCCCUGACAUAGAAGUCAACCUCUGCAUACUGAUGCCAGCGCCAUCAUUUCCUCUCUCAAUGAAAUAGUGCAGCAGUCCAAGAUGAUUACAAGAACAAAAGAAGCCAAAAUUAUACAACCGAGUUACUUCUGACUACUUGUUUUAUGCAUUUAUAAAAGUAGAUUAAAUAGCUGUUUAGAAGAGUCAUUAUAACAAUUAUCAGAUAUCUAGUACAGAAUUAAGUUACGUAUUAUAGUUCUUAACACACACACAAAAUCUAUACCAUGGCUCUUACUGCAAUUUCACACAUAAAAGAUACCCCUUUCUCUGCAUCUAUCACAAUUCAGGCAGAUUUCCUUCCCUGACAAUGCAAUGUAUAAAAAAGCACAUGGCAUAACUUGGAAAAACUUAAUAUUACACUAGGAUAUUAGAACAGGAGAUCAAAACAGGGAGCAAGUGAGUGCUACAUCAAAGGAGGGAAAUAAUGCACAGAUCCAGGAAGUUAUAGACUGGUAUAUGGUCUAGAGAACUGAUGUGCUUAGUAAGUAAACAAAGCAGCAACUAGUGUCCUUGAGAACCCCAGAACGCGCUUACCUGACUUGUAACACUGUCUCUCUGACCCCUGUAACACUGUCUCUCUAACCCCUGACAUGCUGAAUGACUUGUUGCCCCUUCCAAAGUCCACAUCUUUGUACAGCCUGUCUUUUUCUGAGUGCUCAGGCAUUAGACACACUCCAGCAUCUCUACCAUCUUUCAUAUAUGUAUAGCAUGUAUAGCACAAGCUAGGAAAGACCUUCAUUCCAAUUAUAUUCAAUUACAUUCCAAUUCUAUCGCUAGAGCUUGGUUCACCAGCAAUUACACUGCAUUUCCCUGUUACCACACGAUACCUAUUUCCCUGUGCCUGAAUUCUUUCGAUUACGUUUUGAGAUUUAAUCAGUUUACUGACAUGUAUAAGUCCCUGAGUGGUGUUCAUUUCUGCUAGCAUGUCACAAUUUAUUUUUAUUUUGUAUUCAUGUGCAACUCUUGAUGCACAUGUGGCUUGCUCCCAGGUCGGGGCUACCUAAGAAAAGGUUUUACAAUCAUUGUAGUCAUGCUUUGUAAAGGUAGCAUACACUUUCAUUUCUCUUGGGUAAAGAAAAAGGGUAAAAUUACUAGGCUUGAUUACAAGUCACAAAGUAGAUACCCUGUUUUACACUCAUAACUAGAUAUACAUUAUCAAUACUCAACUGACUUGUCAAUUCGUAGUAUUCUAAGGUUUUUAUGGGGAACUUGGGGAAAAAUUCUGAGGGUUAGAAACUACUUUUUCAUGUCUUUUUUUGUAGUAGUUAUGUCUGUUUAAAAAAAUUUUUUUAAGGUAGGAUUUCAAGUCUGACUUACAAUCUAGCUAAAACUGGCCUGGAAUACUGCCUUCUUUCUCUGCCUCCAAAGAGCUGGCAUUCUAGGCAAGUGUGUCACAUCCAGAUAGGCUGCUGUCAUUUUAAUCUCCAUUUCCCUUCAAGAAGGCUGUACCUCUCGCCAUAUGUUCCUGGGUCAAACAAAGCUUGUGAAUUGUUUCCUUAGUUUCUCAUCUGAACUCUGGUGUUUUCAAUAAACUUGGUAAGAAAGGUUCUAUAAGUACUUAAUUUAUUUUUACCAGAGAUAUAGAGAAUAUUAGUUUCUUUUCUGUUGCUAUGAUACAACACCAGACCAAGGCAACUGUAGUUCCAGUCCCACCAUCAUGGUGGGGGCAUGGCAGCAGGCAGGAAGGUGUGACAGUAGUGUCUAAUGGAAUGCAAAAGUCUAACUUUUUAUAAGGCACAAUGAUACCUUUUUCUUUUGUCAUUAGAAUAUUUUGCAUCCUAAAAAAUCAACUAUCCACAUUUGGAAAGAUAUUCUGUUUUUUUUUUUCCUAGAAGCAUUGCUGUUCCAGUUUUACAUUAAGUAUACAAUGUAUCUUGAAUUAGUUUGCUUAUAACCAUCUGC